UGGGGAAUAUUGGACAAUGGGCGCAAGCCUGAUCCAGCCAUGCCGCGUGAGUGAUGACGGCCUUAGGGUUGUAAAGCUCUUUUAACAGGGACGAUAAUGACGGUACCUGUAGAAUAAGCCCCGGCUAACUUCGUGCCAGCAGCCGCGGUAAUACGAAGGGGGCUAGCGUUGUUCGGAAUUACUGGGCGUAAAGCGCACGUAGGCGGAUUUUUAAGUCAGGGGUGAAAUCCCGAGGCUCAACCUCGGAACUGCCUUUGAUACUGGAGAUCUUGAGUUCGGAAGAGGUUGGUGGAACAGCUAGUGUAGAGGUGAAAUUCGUAGAUAUUAGCUAGAACACCAGUGGCGAAGGCGGCCAACUGGUCCGAUACUGACGCUGAGGUGCGAAAGCGUGGGGAGCAAACA
rnacentral:rRNA from 2 species